GGAGUGGGCUGGACGGUCGCCGGGCGUGGCCUCGCGUCACGCCGGGAGGAAAGUCCGGGCUCCACAGGACAGGGUGGUCGGUAACACCGACCAGUCGCGAGACUCGGGAAAGUGCAGCAGAGAAUAGACCGCCGAUGGUCGUUGCGGCUUCCGCAACGUCACAGGUAAGGGUGAAACGGUGCGGUAAGAGCGCACCAGCAGUCGGGGCGACCCGGCUGGCUUGGCAAACCCCGCCCGGAGCAAGGCCAAGCAGAGAGCAAGCAGCUUUCGGGCUGCUGCGGGUCGGUUCGGUCCGUUAUGACUCUCGGGUAGGUUGCUCGAGGCGCCGAGUAAUCGGCGUCCUAGAUAAAUGACCGUUUCUCGUUGAGAACAGAACCCGGCUUAUAGGCCAACUCCCAGA
rnacentral:RNase_P_RNA from 1 species